GGGGAAAUCGAGGUUCUCUGAGCGGGACAGGAAGGGACAAUUCUGGGGUAAAACCUGAGCUAGUCGCGGCAGGUUUAGGGGUCCAACCCGAGUUCCCGUACGGGGAUCGGAAGGAACGUUUCUGAGGGAAAAGCAGAGGCGAAUUGGGAGGGGGAGCAGAGGUGACAUUUUCCACAGAAAUGCUGAGGUAAUUUGGAUGAAACAAAAUCACCACUUUUGUGGGGUGAACCCAGGGGUACCUUAGAGAGGAGAAAGGAGCCUUUGUGAGAGAAAGGCUGGGAAUUCAGACCAGACCGAGGCGGCGUUUUGGACAGAAAACCUGAGGUUACUUAGCAGGGACAGAGGUGACCCUUUGAGCUGAAAACCUGGGGUAGUUUAGAGGGGACACAACCACUGUUUUCUGUAGGAAAGUGGGAGGUGAUGUAGAGGAGAGAGAGGUGGCGUUUGGAGGGAAUGGCUGAGGUGGUUGGGAAUGGCUGAGAUUGACUGUGGGCUGCAGACUGAGCCCUGGGGCCUGAACCCUUUCCAGUCAGCAGGGGCUGUUCCCAGAAGCCCUGCCCUGGCUCAUAACUCGGUUGUUUCCAGGUGCUCGGGGAGCGAUUCCCCAGGAGGAAGGGGAGCCUUGGCCCCACCUGCCCGGCUCAGUUGGACGGGACAGAACUGGGGCGGCCUGGCAGGGCAUGGACACGUUUCUGAGUUCUGCAGUGCCUCGAAACCUUUCUGUGUCCCAGAAAACUUCCUACCAAAAAUUCUGUCUCGGUUUUCCACCAGAGGUUCUCACCAGAAUUUUCCCCGUGGAGUUUUCCUGCC